UCUCUCUCUCUCUCUCUCUCUCAGAUUCUAGUCUUCUCCUUCUUGAACAUGGUUUCUCAGAUUUGAAGAGACAAAAUCAUAAUUUGAAAUUAGCAUUGCUGUUCAAAAUGGAGAUAACUUUACAACUCUUUGCUCACUUUCCUAGUAUUGGGGUUUUUGAAUUUGGCAAAAACUAGAUUUUGAUGAAUUGGUUACAAAUUAUGUAUUGAUGUCUGCAAUUUUUGUAUUUAGAUGAUUAGAGGAUGGUAUUUUAAUAGGAAUUGUUGGAUAUGAAUAUGAAAUAGAUGGUGAAGAUGUUUGUUUCUUGUGUGUGUAGGAUGAGUGAAUUUGAUAUCUAUAGAUUUGGUGUUGUUAUGUUGGUUUUGUUGUCUAGAAGAGCUGCUAUGUUUAAUGGACUAUAUGAGACUCAUAGAUCAUGUAUUUGAGGUAAUGAACUAGAUGAGACCAGUUUUGGUCUCUCUCUCCUAGCUUUGGUUAAUUUUUUCUUUAAUUGCAGGUGUUGCUACAUGUGCAUCGUACCCUCUUGACUGCAAAAACUGAAGCUUUGAAUCAAGCGAUGUCGCAGGAUUAGCUAUAACUAUAAUCACUCGUGGAUCAGUCCUAACGAUGCUGGAGAUUUGAGAAUCUUUGAACCCAUAACUUCUAAGAAACUUGAGAACAGAAGGUGCAGCUUAUCACCAAGCUAAUGGAGGUAAGAGCUGCAGCCUGCAGUCACGAGUGAUGAAAAAUGUAGCAAUCUCUCAUUUCAUCUACUUCUCCUUCUCUUCAUCAAAGAGAGUGGUUCCCUCAUUUCUUCUAGUCUCUGCAGUCUUUGUAUAAUUCUAAAAGUACUGAAACAAGCAAGAAGUAUGAAGGACAAGUUUGAGAAGUACUGGGAUGAAUUGAUCAAUAUAAAUCCAGUUGAUAGAAACAGUUGAGCGACAGAGUUUAGGAUCAGCUUAUGAUGUUUUGUCAUGGUAGAAGCAUAAUAGUCUGAACUAUGUUUAGGAACCUUAUAAAAUAUGUUUUUUUAGACAUACCGUUUAUGCAAAUUGUUGUUUGUUAACGAGAAGCAUAUAUUCAUCAAUAUAUGGAUUUUGCUACUUUUUAAAACC